rnacentral:snRNA from 11 species
UGGGGGUUGUGUGGGGGGUGAAAAUGCAAAGGCGACCUCCAUUGCACUUGGGAGGGGCACUUGCCUAAGAUCUCGCAAAGUUGAGACAGUCUGCCCCAUAAGUUGUGGUAGUGGGGGUACACGUUCAGCCCCAG